GGAGUGAUGUCCGAGCGGUCUAAGGAGCUUCUUUGCUAAAGAAGUGUUGUUUUUAACGCGUAGGUUCGAAUCCUACUCACUCCG